AGAUUGAACGCUGGCGGCAGGCCUAACACAUGCAAGUCGAGCGGUAGAGAGGUGCUUGCAUCUCUUGAGAGCGGCGGACGGGUGAGUAAUGCCUAGGAAUCUGCCUAGUGGUGGGGGAUAACGUUCGGAAACGGACGCUAAUACCGCAUACGUCCUACGGGAGAAAGCGGGGGACCUUCGGGCCUCGCGCCAUUAGAUGAGCCUAGGUCGGAUUAGCUAGUUGGUGAGGUAAUGGCUCACCAAGGCGACGAUCCGUAACUGGUCUGAGAGGAUGAUCAGUCACACUGGAACUGAGACACGGUCCAGACUCCUACGGGAGGCAGCAGUGGGAAUAUUGGACAAGUGGGCGAAAGCCUGAUCCAGUCAUGCCGCGUGUGUGAAGAAGGUUCUUACGGAUUGAAAGCUACGUUUAAGGUUGGAGGAAGGUUGUAAACCGUAAUACCGUUGACUAACGUUUGACGUUACGACUAGAAUAAGCACCGUCUAACGUUCGUGCCAGCAGCCGUACGG
rnacentral:rRNA from 1 species